GAUGAACGCUGGCGGCGUGCCUAAUACAUGCAAGUCGAGCGAACGGACGAGAUGCUUGCUUCUAUUAUGUUAGCGGCGAACGGGUGAGUAACACGUGGAUAACCUACCUAUAAGACUGGGAUAACUUCGGGAAACCGUAGCUAAUACCGCAUAAUAUUUUUAACCACAUGGUUCAAAAGUGAAAGAUGGUCUUGCUGUCCCUUAUAGAUGGCUCCAGGCUGCAUUAGCUAGUUGGUAAGUUAAGGGCUUACAAAGCCACCGUACCUUAGCCGACCUAAAAGGUGAGACGCCAAAAUGGGAACGGAGACACGGUCCAGACUCCAAGGGGGGGCGGCAGAGGGGAAUCUUCCGCAAUGAGCGAAAGCCGGACGGAGCAACGCGGCGGGAGGGAGGAAGGUCUUCGGAUGUUAAAACUCUGUUGUUGGGAAAGAAGAUAUGGAGAAGGAACUGUGCACAUAGUGACGGUACCUAAUCAGAAAGCCACGGCUAACUACGUG
rnacentral:rRNA from 1 species